UACGAAGGGUGCAACCGUUGCUCGGAAUUAUUGGGCGUAAAGCGCACGUAGGCGGCAUUGCAAGUCGGAUGUGAAAUCUUAUGGCUUAACCAUAAAAGUGCAUCCGAAACUGCAGUGCUUGAGUACUUAAGAGGAUCGCGGAAUUCCCGGUGUAGAGGUGAAAUUCGUAGAUAUUCGCAAGAACACCAGUGGCGAAGGCGGCUCACUGGCCCGGUACUGACGCUGAGACGCGAAAGCGUGGGGAGCGAACAGG
rnacentral:rRNA from 1 species